rnacentral:misc_RNA from 1 species
GAUGAAGAACGCAGCAAAAUGCGAUAAGUAGUGUGAAUUGCAGAAUUCAGUGAAUCAUCGAAUCUUUGAACGCACAUUGCGCCCGGUAGUAUUCUGCCGGGCAUGCCUGUUCGAGCGUCAUUUCAACCAUCAAGCCCCAGCGCUUGUGUUGGGGGCCUGCGGCUGCCGCAGCCCCCUAAAAGCAGUGGCGGGCUCGCUAUCACACCGAGUGCAGUAGUUCAUCUUCUCUCCGGUCUUGUGAGGCGGGUUCCGGCCGUGAAACACCCCACUACAUUUCAAGGUUGACCUCGGAUCAGGUAGGAAUACCCGCUGAACUUAAGCAUAUCAAUAAGCGGAGGA